UGAGAGUGCCAAUGUUGAGGCUGCUCGACUUCUUCAAGAAGCUGCAAGGAUUUUGAAGAGAGAGUCAGAAAGCACAGCCACUGCUGGCUCAGGAUCACAGACUGGUACUGGGACGUGUUCACCCAGUUCUUUUAGAGGUUUGUUUAACAACAUGCAAACCUCACUAGCUGAAGUACAACAGGGAACCCCUACAGUCGAUUCAGGCAGGAUUCCCUGCCCUAGAAAUGACCACAUUCAAAGAAAUCUUGUGCAGCUGUUUCAGCCAUGUGAUCGGGCAAGGGGGCAAAAGAUGUUCCAGAAAACUGGAAAGUGUAAACGGAAAACUACACACAGUGAAACCUGGACACGUGAUUUCUUUUGCUUACAGAGACCAAUGUUCAAACUGUGCCCAAUGGAGAAGACCGCAUUGGUUUACAGAAUUCAGCCCUUGGUAGGAAAAAAAUAACAUUUGCAGACAAAAAUGGAGGAUUUUCUGAACUAUGUGAAACUCUGUUUUCACAUUUUCCACAAUUGAAAGGUGCAGGAGGCUUUCAGAUGUUGAGGUCCGUUAAUAAAACCAAACAAUUGGCACCAAUUCCAAUGCCAGCCGGUGAGUACAGUGAGAAAUUUCUGAGAACUGAGAGUGGCCUGAACCAGGCAAUGGCCUACAUUCGACCACUUCAGAAAAACCUGGAGAGCAUUGCGAAGCGUGAGGCUGAAGAGUGUCAAGAGGUGGUCAUGGAGAAGUGCAAAAGGUGUGGAAAAGAUAUCCCUCUGCAAUGCCUUUCAGAACACAUUGAAAACUGUGGAAGGUCAUCUGUUUUUCUGGUACAGCCUGAUGACACAGAUUUGGAAGAUGAUGUCGUUAUGGAGAUAUCUGAAGAGACUCAACUAUCUAUGUCAUCACAUGACAACACAUCCCAUGUUCAAAAUUAUUACAACAAGUGCCAUGCUUCUUGUAGUGGACUGUACAGAGACUAUGUGGACCUUGUCAGUGAAGACAAUGUAUUUAGUGAUUCUGAAGAAGAGCAGCUGAAUAGAGUUCUAGAGGAAUCGCUAAAGGAAAGCUCGCAUGCAGCUUUUAAAUUUCAAAGUCAGACAAUUAAAAAGGAACUGGACGAGGCGGUUCGACUGGUAUGUUCUUCAGCGAACAAGAACACAGUUUGAAAGGUUGCAAGAAGGACUCCGUUCUCUCGGUGUAAUGGAUUCUAUGAAGGCCCACCCUGAAACCUUCAAACCUAUUUUCUGUCAAUCGACAGAGAAGCUGACUGCUGAUGUGCUUGAAGAGCUAUUCAAAGAGCAGCGAUCUGACUGUGGGAGUAACAAGUUUGAGAGAGAAAAUGAAGCAGUAUGUCAUUGGAGGGAUUAUCUCUUGGAUGUAGAGAUGGGGAUUUGUGGAGUUACCCUGGAGGACAUCCUUGUCUUUGCCACAGGAAGUGACAGUGUACCAGCAUUGGGCUUCAACCCUGCUCCAACUGUUGAAUUUUUGCAUGAUGGUUCACGGUUUCCACUUGCAAACACAUGUUCCAGCAUAUUAAGGGUACCAUGCAGGCAUUCAUACGAGUCCUUCAGGGAUGAUAUGGACUUUGGAAUUAAAAAUUCCCCAGGCUUUGGAAGGGCAUAACCAAAUUCCUUUGCUUACCAUACCUGUAGUCAAAGGGCACAAGUAUGUUCGAUCCUAAGAACAAUGUUAUGCAUGCCAAAGUGCUGCUAGAAUUUUUAUGUUUGUCAUUUUUGUUAUCUAUAAUUCUUUGUACACUUAAAUUUAGCAAGUGAGUCACCUUUGGUUGAGAAUUCUUACCUGUAGUUAUUAUUAUUGCAGAUAUUUAGCAGACACCUUUAUUAAGCACUACAAUUCAAUUUACUAAAAUAUUAAAAUGUAAUAGUUCAAUCUGUCAAUAUUAACAUCAGUGCCUUUAAAUAAAAGUAUAGGCUCGAUCUUUUCCCUCCUAAGGAUUUUUGGUAAUAGAGAAUUCUUAACAGUUGUUAAGUUGUUCCAAGAAAGAACAUUUUACUUUUCCUCCUUAUUAAUAAACACUAUUUGCAUUUCUGUGA